rnacentral:rRNA from 1 species
CGCGUAGGCGGUUUUGUAAGUCGGAUGUGAAAGCCCCGGGCUUAACCUGGGAAUUGCAUUCGAUACUGCAUAACUAGAGUAUGGUAGAGGGAAGUGGAAUUUCCGGUGUAGCGGUGAAAUGCGUAGAUAUCGGAAGGAACACCAGUGGCGAAGGCGACUUCCUGGGCCAAUACUGACGCUGAGGUGCGAAAGCGUGGGGAGCAAACA